rnacentral:rRNA from 1 species
AUUGAACGCUAGCGGGAUGCCUUACACAUGCAAGUCGAACGAGUGGCGAACGGGUGAGUAAUGUAUCGGAACGUGCCCAGUAGCGGGGGAUAACUACGCGAAACGUAGCUAAUACCGCAUACUAUUGGAACGGCCGAUAUCGGAUUAGCUAGUUGGUGGGGUAACGGCACACCAAGGCGACGAUCCGUAGCUGGUUUGAGAGGACGACCAGACACACAGGGACUGAGGCAAUGCCGAAAGUCCGACGGGGGGCAGCAGUGGGGAAUUUUAGACAAUGGGAGAAACCCUGAAGCAGCAACGCAGCGUAGAGGAUGAAACUUUUCGGAGAGUAAACUACUUUUGUUAGGAAAGCGGUACCUAACGAAUAAGCACCGGCUAACUCCGUGCCAGAAGCCGCGGUAAUAC